rnacentral:lncRNA from 10 species
GGCUCCAUCAAAGUACUGCCUAUCUGGAUCUUGGCAGAACAGUUUGUGAUUCCCCAGAACGCAAGAGGAUGGGAGCCCAUGACGAGCUGCUCCGGAGCCACCCCCACCUCCCCUCCCUUCUCCUCAGGGCUAAUGAAGUAAAGGUCUUCUCCCACACUUUCAGUGCUUAGAGUGAAGGUGCAGGAUACAAAACCACUCUGCUGCAGUCUAGAACCAGCUCCCUAGCAAUGGGGUGUCCCAUAGCUCCUAUCCCAGCCAUCCAGCCCAUUGUCUUGGUGGUGUCCUGGUCAGGGUUUCCAGUGUGUGGGACGAGGCUCCGGGGGAGACGGCACCUUUGGCCUAACUCUUUUCUCCGUCUCUGUGUGUAAUAAAAGGCUCUAACAGUGGCUCAUAUGCGAGGCUUUGGCCUUGUUCAAUGGGUGUACUUGACAAGAAUCGGACGCAACAGCAGGAAGGGAUGAAGGCUAGAAUGCUUUGUUUGAGGUUUUGGUUUUUACUUUUUAUUUGGAAGCAAUUAUGGAUGCAAAGAAAUUUGCGAAACAAUGAACAGCAGGCUUGUAUGUCUUUUCCUCAACUCCAAUGGUAACGCUGUGCAGAACUCCAGGAUGGCGUCAAAACCACGAGGGCGACCUGGGUACCAUCCACAGAACCUCUUCAUAUUUCUUUUUCUCUUUUUUCUUUUUCUUUUUGAUACAAGUUCUCAUUUGGCCACCUAGCCUGGAGUGCACUGUUGGGAACAUGGCUCACUGCAGCUUCAACCUCUUGGGCUCAAGUGAUCCUCCUGUCUCAGCCCCCAAGUAGCUGGGACUACAGGCAUACACCAUCACACCCAGCCUAACUUCUUCAGAUUUCACUGGUUUACAUGCCUGUGGGUGUGGGUGUGUAUCAUUCUGUGCAAUUUCCUCAUGUGUGCAGAUUCAUGUGACCAUCACAAGUGACAACAGCCAAAACUGCUUUAUGACCACAGGUCAAUGACAUCCCUCAUUACCCCUCAGGCUCCAUCCCCAUUCCUAACCCUGAACAGCCACUCAUGUUCUGCGUCUCUAAUGUUGAUAUUUCAAGAAUGUUAUUUAGAUGGAAUCACACAUUCUCCAAGAACAUUUUUGAGACUGGCUUCUUUCAAUCAGCAUCAUUCCCUUGAGAUCCUCCCAAGUUGUCAUGCGCAACGAGAGUUCAUCGUCUUUGCUGCUGAGCAAACCUCCCUGGCAUGGACGGAGCACAGUUUGUUUCACCCUCACCCAUGAAGGAACAUCCAGAUUGUUUCCAGUUUGGGGCUGUCCCAAAGAAAGCUGCCAUGAACGUUCAGGUACAGGUUUUCAUGUGAACAUAACUUUUCAUUUCUCUAGAAUAAAUGCCCAAGAGCGCAAAUGCUAGCUUCUGUGAUAAUUGCAUUUCAGUUUUAUAAGAUACAGCCUAACUCUUGUCUACAACACAUGCCUAUGUUGAUGUUGUUGCUUUUUGGUUUUGGGGGGCAUGUUUUGAGACAAUGUCUCGCUCUGUCUCUCAGGCUGGAGUGUAGUUGUGUAAUCAUAGCUCACUGCAGCCUCGAAUUCCUGGACUCAAGCAAUCCUCCCCCUUAGCUUCCCAAGUAGCUGGGACCAUGGUUGCAUCACUGUGCCCUGCUAAUUUCUCUCUCUUUCUCUCUGUAGAGAUGGGUUUUGUUGUUGUUGUUGUUUUAACUCUCCUAUGACUCUCUUGUGUAGUCAGGGCUGAGCAUUGCUGCUCUGGAAGCCAAACUGGGGCAUCCCAGAUGUGGCAGGAACGUCAGCUGAUGAAGCUGAGGUCUUCAUUUCAUCCACACAGAACACAAGGUAAUAUUAGGAGCGAACACAAAGACAAACAAAUGCAUAUCUGCUCUGCUUGGGUGCUCAGCUGAAUACCGCGCUUGACUAUGAGUUGCAUGAGCUAUGGAGCUGACCCGGUGACUCGAGGAGCCAUUAUAGGGCCUUAUACCAACACCGAGUUGUGGCAGGUGGAAGACCCAGUUGUGCAGGAAUUCCCUUGUGGCGAGGAGAGUCUGAGCAGCUGCAGGCAGCAGCCCUGGAAGGGAGCCCUAGCAGAGUGCCAGCCACUGCUCUGUAGGUGGUUACCAAGGCUGGAUGCCUCUUUAUUGAGGGUCUGACCUGAAAAUGGAGCCUCUGCCGAAAGCCACCCUCGCCCCUGGAGACAGUCUCCUAGUAUCAUGGGGUGCUGGCCAGGGUCUGUGUUGGAAGCUGUGAUUCCUGGAGCUGUGGCUGACUCUUGCAUGGAGAUGAACAACCAGCAGAUGGUUUGCAACACACACUAGCUGAAUGGACAAGAGAUCUUGGACCACCCAUAGUUCUGACCUGCUCAGGGAACCGGUCAUUCAUCCCCCAGCCCAGGUAAGAAGGUUUACCUCCAGAGAGCCUCUCUUGACUGCCCCACCUGGGGGACCCUGCUUCGUGUAUAUGGAUAGCUCACCCCAUAGUCCCUAAGAACAUUUUAUAGGCACAACUUGUGUUAUUAUUCUUCACUUUAUGCACUUCAUAGCUAUUUCAUUUUUUUUACAAAUUGAAGGUUUGUGGCAACCAUGCAUCAAACAAGUCUAUCAGUGCCAUUUUUCCAACAGCAUGUUCUUACUUCAUUAGCAUUUUUAGCAAUAACGUAUUUUCAAAUUAAGGUAUGUGCCAGGCCUCUGAGCCCAAGCUAAACCAUCAUAUCCCCUGAGAC